rnacentral:rRNA from 1 species
AGUGAACGCUGGCGGUAGGCCUAACACAUGCAAGUCGAACGGCAGCACAGUAAGAGCUUGCUCUUACGGGUGGCGAGUGGCGGACGGGUGAGGAAUACAUCGGAAUCUACUUUUUCGUGGGGGAUAACGUAGGGAAACUUACGCUAAUACCGCAUACGACCUACGGGUGAAAGCAGGGGAUCUUCGGACCUUGCGCGAUUGAAUGAGCCGAUGUCGGAUUAGCUAGUUGGCGGGGUAAAGGCCCACCAAGGCGACGAUCCGUAGCUGGUCUGAGAGGAUGAUCAGCCACACUGGAACUGAGACACGGUCCAGACUCCUACGGGAGGCAGCAGUAGGGAAUAUUGGACAAUGGGCGCAAGCCUGAUCCAGCCAUACCGCGUGGGUGAAGAAGGCCUUCGGGUUGUAAAGCCCUUUUGUUGGGAAAGAAAAGCAGCAGGUUAAUACCCCGCUGUUCUGACGUUACCCAAAGAAUAAGCACCGGCUAACUUCGUG